UUGGAGGGCAAGUCUGGUGCCAGCAGCCGCGGUAAUUCCAGCUCCAAUAGCGUAUAUUAAAGUUGUUGCAGUUAAAAAGCUCGUAGUUGAAUUUCGRAAUUUUUUUAUCGGUUAAAUCAACAGRUUUAUACUGAUUUUAAGAAUUUCUACCUUCUGGAGAACCWUAAUGUCAUUAAUUUGGUGUUUUGGGGAACCAGRACUGUUACCUUGAAAAAAUUAGAGUGUUUAAAGCAGGCUUAUGUCUGAAUAUAUUAGCAUGGAAUAAUGAAAUAGGACGGCAUGGUUCUAUUUUGUUGGUUUCUAGGAUCACCGUAAUGAUUAAUAGGGAUAGUUGGGGGCAUUAGUAUUCAAUUGUCAGAGGUGAAAUUCUUGGAUUUAUUGAAGACUAACUUCUGCGAAAGCAUUUGCCAAGGAUGUUUUCAUUAAUCAAGAACGAAAGUUAGGGGAUCGAAGACGAUCAGAUACCGUCGUAGUCUUAACCAUAAACUAUGCCGACUAGGAAUCGGACGAAGUUAAUUUUUUAAUGACUCGUUCGGCGCCUUACGGGAAAC
rnacentral:rRNA from 1 species